rnacentral:ncRNA from 1 species
UAAAGAACGUGGAUGAGGAGAAGUAAAAGGAAACCUGCUUGCACAGAGAAAACCAUCUAAGGCUGAGAAUGGUUGAAGCACUUGUCUUUGAAAUGCACCUCUGAGUUUUUUCCCGAACAAACGAGUACGGAAAAACGGUUAACCGCCGUUAUUGGUUCAAGUGGAGGGCAUCGCACUGCCCUAAACAGAGUGGAACCGCGCAAAAAAGCGUCUCUGAG